CUAUCCUGCGCCGGCCACGGUCAAUCCCGUGGCCGGGUUUAGCGACCCGAAAG
rnacentral:ncRNA from 1 species